CACAAGAAGAACUGGGAAGGAAGGAAGGGAGGAAGUAAAGGAAGGAAGGAAGGAAGGGAUGGAGGGAGGGACGGAAAAGAAGAAUGAGAAAAGUUAAUAAAGAUAUGUAAAGGAAGGAAGGAAGGAAAGGAAGGAAGGAAAGAAGGAAGGAAGGGACGGAAAAGAAGCGUGGAACAAAUUAAUAAAGAAACGUAAAGGAAGGAAGGAAGGAAGUAAAGGAAAGUUAGACAAAAGAACUUGACCGAUUAAAAAGAAUCUACAUUAUGGCAGUUUUUGAGGAGAGCGUCAAUCAUGUAUCAUAAACUAAGGUGUCUUUCCUGGUCUGUGCGUAUCACUCCAAUACAUACAGAAGGAAAGUUAGACAAAAGAACUUGACCGAUUAAAAAGAAUCUAUGUUAUGACAGUUUUUGAGGAGAGUGUCAAUCAUGUAUCAUAAACUAAGGUGUCUCUACUGGUCUGUGCGUAUCACUCCAAUACAUACAGAAGGAAAGUUAGACAAAAGAACUUGACCGAUUAAAAAGAAUCUAUGUUAUGACAGUAUUUGAGGAGAGCGUCAAUCAUGUAUCAUAAACUAAGGUGUCUUCACUGUUCUGUGCGUAUCACUCCAAUGCAUACAGAAGGAAAGUUAGACAAAAGAACUUGACCGAUUAAAAAGAAUCUAUGUUAUGACAGUAUUUGAGGAGAGUGUCAAUCAUGUAUUAGAAUUUAUGGUGUCUUUGGUCUAUGCACAACUUAAUCUAAUCUAAUCAUCUAAUCUGCCCUUGCCAAAAUGUUGAAGUUCGAACGUAACUGGAUGAAAACAAUCUACAUACCAACAGUUCAUUUUUAGCAAAGUUCGAACAUUAACGCAUGAAAACAAUCUACAUAUCAACAGUCCUUUAUUUUCAGAAGGCCGAUAAAGAAUUAAGUCGCAGGAAAUUACAUAAUAUAAACUUGGGUAUCUUCACUUAUCUGUAUUAUUGCAAUCGAUGAACCCAGGAACAGCGUAGACAGCCUGGCACAUACACCCUAACACACUAUGGGCUUAGGGGGCCUAGAACGCUCCCUGGGACAUGCGCUGAAGUCAUGGGCCGUUAGUGAUGGUUGGGUCGUAGAAUAGGGGAGUGUGGGCAGCCUGGCGCACACACCCUAACACUGUAUGGGCGUAGGGGGCAUGGAACGCUCCCUGGGACAUGCGCUGAAGUCAUGGGUUGUUAGUGAUAUUUGGGUUGUAGAAUAGGGGAGUGUGGGCAGCCUGGCACACACCCUAACACUGUAUGGGCGUCUGGGGGCCUGGAACGCUCCCUGGGACAUGCGCUGAAGUCAUGGGCCGUUAGUGAUGGUUGGGUUGUAGGAUAGAGGAGUGUGGGCAGCCUGGCGCACACACCCUAACACUGUAUGGGCGUAGGGGGCCUAGAACGCUCCCUGGGACAUGCGCUGAAGUCAUGGGCUGUUAGUGAUGGUUGGGUCGUAGAAUAGGGGAGUGUGGGCAGCCUGGCACACACCCUAACACUGUAUGGGCGUAGGGGGCCUAGAAUGCUCCCUGGGACAUGCGCUGAAGCCAUGGGGCAUUAGUGAUGGUUGGGUCGUAGAAUAAGGGAGUGUGGGCGCCUUAAUCACAGCGGAGUUGAUGUGUGAGGUCAAACAGUUAAGAACAAUCUCCGUUUCAACUAUGAUUGACUUUACAAUUAUUUUUCUUAAAGGUUGAAUUUCCCGGAUUUUCCAUUUCUUCUUCUACUUCUACGACUACUUUUUCUUCUUUUCGUUCGACAUGUUACCGAACGAGCCAUGCGUAGUUCAAGUUGCCGAUGAUGUGAUUAAGUGUUUCUUGAGGUCUGGGUGCUUGCUUGAGAAUCUGGUCCCAGCGCACACUAAAAGCUCGAUCGUACCAACCACUCUUUUUUUCUAUCGUCGGAGAAGCGUAUUGCGGAGUUUUUUAUUGCCAUUUAAGUUUUUGUGCCCUUGAGCUGCCUCCGUCGCUGCUUAAGAAAAAAAAAAAGGAAAAAGUGUCGAUGUGAAUUUUGCGUGGAUUUUCAGGGUAACAAUUUGACCCCCAUACUGAAGGUGGUCUCACAAUCCUACCCUACGUCUCAGUGUGGUCAGUUUCUAUUAUAAAUACUAUACAUAUAUAUAUAUAUAUACAUUUACUCCGUGUAACAUACAUAUAUAUAUAUAAACAUCAAUGUACCUUUAAUAUAAUCUCUCCUUCGGGUCCUGAUCUGAGAGGCAUCGUAGGAGGGCAGCCGUAGAUCUCGCUGAGUUGUCCAGUUCUGUAAAAAUAUAGUGUACCAGUUAUUUCCACGGUUUAUACUUGUACUGUAACCAGGGAUGAGAGUGUAGAGUGUGAGGGAGCGUGUAGCCUCGAUAUACAGCAUUUUCCCACUAACCUGUAAGAAUGACCACUGUGUAAUGUAUGGGAAUGCUUCAAGGUCUACCAAAUUAACUGGCUGUGGUAUUAGUUGUCUUUUCCUUGUGUGUGUAUAGAGAAAGGAAGGAAAACAAGCAACCAGUCCUGUACAUCAAUUUUCUGCCAGUAACUCGUAAGAAUGACCACUGUGUAAUGUAUGGGAAUGCUUCAAGGUCUCCCAAAUUAACUGGCUGUGGUAUUAGUUGUUCCUUCCUUGUGUGUGUAUAGAGAAAGGAAGGAAAACAGUCAACCAGUCCUGUACAUCAAUUUUCCGCCAGUAACUCGUAAGAAUGACCACUGUGUAAUGUAUGGGAAUGCUUCAAGGUCUCCCAAAUUAACUGGUUGUGGUAAUAGGUGUCCUUCCUUGUGUGUGUAUAGAGAAAGGAAGGAAAACAAGCAACCAGUCCUGUACAUCAAUUUUCAGCCAGUAACUCGUAAGAAUGACCACUGUGUAAUGUAUGGGAAUGCUUCAAAGUCUCCCAAAUUAACUGGUUGUGGUAUUAGUCAUCUCUUCCUUGUGUGUGUAUAGAGGAAGGAAGGAAAACAAGCAACCAGUCCUGUACAUCAAUUUUCAGCCAGUAACUCGUAAGAAUGACCACUGUGUAAUGUAUGGGAAUGCUUCAAGGUCUACCAAAUUAACUGGUUGUGGUAUUAGUUGUUCCUUCCCUGUGUGUGUAUAGAGGAAGGAAGGAAAACAAGCAACCAGUCCUGUACGUCAAUUUUCCGCCAGUAACUCGUAAGAAUGACCACUGUGUAAUGUAUGGGAACACUGCAAAGUCUCCCAAAUUUGCUGGCUGUGGUGUGUAGCUCUCCCUUCCCUGUGUGUGUAUAGAGGAAGGAAGGAAAACAGCCAACCAGUCCCGUACAUCAAUUUUCCGCCAGUAACUCGUAAGAAUGACCACUGUGUAUGUAUCGGAACACUGCAAAGUCUCCCAAAUUUGCUGGGUGUGGUGUGUAGCUCUCCCUUCCCUGUGUGUGUAAAGAGGAAGGAAGGAAAGCAGCCAACCAGUCCUGUAUCUCAUUGUUUACAUUUUUGGCUUGGGGGAAGAAGAGCAAGGUGUCCCGACCAGCCCAAACAGCAUAGAUUCAUGAUGUGCUGGUCGCUAUUCUCGGACACAUCCGCCGCUCACACUAAUAUUUUCAAAGGGUAAAAAAUUAUAUCAGUUGGGUUCUCAUGUGUGUUUUCUUAGACUCAUGGUACAGAGGAAGGGUCAAACUACCACCAGGGUCAUAAAACUACCCCUGGAAAUGCCCACAACUCCUAUGAAGGCCUUGUCAAAUAUGUGUUUCUCAAGGUUCAUGGUACAGAGGAAGGGUCACAUUACCACCAGGGUCAUAAAACUACCCCUGGAAAUGCCCACAACACCCAUGAAAGCCUUGUCAAAUAUGUGUUUCUUUAGGUUCAUGGUACAGAGGAAGGGUCAAACUACCACCAGGGUCAUAAAACUACCCCUGGAAAUGCCCACAACUCCUAUGAAAGCCUUGUCAAAUAUGUGUUUCUUUAGGUUCAUGGUACAGAGGAAGGGUCAAACUACCACCAGGGUCAUAAAACUACCCCUGGAAAUGCCCACAACUCCUAUGAAAGCCUUGUCAAAUAUGUGUUUCUCAAGGUUCAUGGUACAGAGGAAGGGUCACACUACCACCAGGGUCAUAAAACUACCCCUGGAAAUGCCCACAACUCCUAUGAAAGCCUUGUCAAAUAUGUGUUUCUUUAGGUUCAUGGUACAGAGGAAGGAUCACACUACCACCAGGGUCAUAAAACUACCCCUGGAAAUGCCCACAACACCCAUGAAAGCCUUGUCAAACAUGAGUGUACGGGUGCGGAAAUGUUGAUAUAUGCUGAGACAGGGAGGAGGGAAGAAUCUGUACCCUAUAUAUACUUGUUUCCUCUGGUUGUGUGUGUGUGUGUGUGUGUGUGUGUGUGUGUGUAGGGAAUGCUGUACUCUUUUCUAUGUAAGGUCCUCACCUCAAUCGAUCUUCUGGUACACUUCUACAGUUGUUUAUUUUCCGUUGACUAAAGUAAGACUCCAACCCUA